rnacentral:rRNA from 1 species
GGUGAACGCUGGCGGCGUGCCUAACACAUGCAAGUCGAGCGGUACAGUUUGAAGCUUCGGUGGAGAGCUGUAUAGCGGCGGACGGGUGAGUAAAGCGUAGGAACGUGCCCCUCGGAGUUGGAUAGCCAUGGGAAACUGUGGGUAAACCGACAUAGACUCGGGAGAGUAAAGGCCGAAAGGCGCCGAGGGAGCGGUCUGCGGCCCAUCAGGUAGUUGGUGAGGUAACGGCUCACCAAGCCUAAGACGGGUAACCGGUCUGAGAGGAUGUCCGGUCACACUGGGACUGAGACACGGCCCAGACUCCUACGGGAGGCAGCAGCAGGGAAUCUUGGGCAAUGGGCGAAAGCCUGACCCAGCGACGCCGCGUGGAGGAAGAAGUCCUUCGGGGCGUAAACUCCUGGACUGGGGGACGAGUAAGGACGGUACCCCAGUAGAAAGGGACGGCUAACUACGUG